rnacentral:tRNA from 1 species
GGCUCGGUAGCUUAGUUGAUAAAGCAGUUGUGAAUAGCGAAUAAGGGUCGUGAGUUCAAAUCUCACCUGAGCUG